rnacentral:rRNA from 1 species
UACGGAGGGAGCUAGCGUUGUUCGGAAUUACUGGGCGUAAAGCGCACGUAGGCGGCUAUUCAAGUCAGAGGUGAAAGCCCGGGGCUCAACCCCGGAACUGCCUUUGAAACUAGAUAGCUAGAAUCUUGGAGAGGUCAGUGGAAUUCCGAGUGUAGAGGUGAAAUUCGUAGAUAUUCGGAAGAACACCAGUGGCGAAGGCGACUGACUGGACAAGUAUUGACGCUGAGGUGCGAAAGCGUGGGUAGCAAACAGG